CGCAAUGGGCGAAAGCCUGACGGAGCAAUACCGCGUGAGGGAGGAAGGCCUAUGGGUUGUAAACCUCUUUUUUCAGGGAGGAAUCAAUGACGUGUACCUGAAGAAUAAGCAUCGGCUAACUCCGUGCCAGCCGCCGCGGUAAGACGGAGGAUGCAAGUGUUAUCCGGAAUCACUGGGCGUAAAGCGUCUGUAGGUGGUCAAAUAAGUCAACUGUUAAAUCUUGAGGCUCAACCUCAAAAUCGCAGUCGAAACUAUUCGACUAGAGUAUAGUAGGGGUAAAGGGAAUUUCCAGUGGAGCGGUGAAAUGCGUAGAGAUUGGAAAGAACACCGAUGGCGAAGGCACUUUACUGGGCUAUUACUAACACUGAGAGACGAAAGCUA
rnacentral:rRNA from 1 species